UAGCCCAUCCUCUCCUUCGGCACUCCCUGGCUGCUGGGGCUGGACCUCGGCACUAGGGAGAAUUUGGGAAGGCUGUGUCCCAAACAGAUAACAGCAUUAAGGAAAAAACCGAGGACAUUUCACCUUGACCCCGAUGAGCAACUCUGAGAGGGCAUGUGUCCAGGAGAGGGUGGGACCCUGCAAGCAUGCCCUGAGAAACUUCUGCCCACACAUCACAGCCUCAGAGCAUGUUUCCCAGAGAACCCUACCAUUUGACAGAUGGCAGAUGUAUCCAUCCAAGAGCCAACUUUGAUCACCUGGUCUCAGCAGCCAGAGUAUAUGAGUUGAGAAGGCUUCCAGGUCAAAUUCCAGGAACGAUGUCUACCAUGGGUAAGGACGUAUGCGCUGGAUGCCCAGCAUCCCUGGAGAGUGGUGCUGUGUCACGGAUGCCAAGUGGAAGAGCUGU